rnacentral:rRNA from 1 species
UACGUAGGGUGCAAGCGUUAAUCGGAAUUACUGGGCGUAAAGCGUGCGCAGGCGGUUUGUAAGUCUGUCGUGAAAUCCCCGGGCUCAACCUGGGAAUUGCGAUGGAGACGUGCAAGGCUAGAAUCUGGCAGAGGGGGGUAGAAUUCCACGUGAUAGCAGUGAAAUGCGGUAGAGAUGUGGAGGAACGACCGAUGGCGCAAGGCAGCCCCCUGG